rnacentral:misc_RNA from 1 species
AUGAAGAACGUAGCGAAAUGCGAUAAGUAGUGUGAAUUGCAGACUUUAGUGAAUCAUCGAAUCUUUGAACGCACAUUGCGCCCCUUGGUAUUCCAUUGGGCAUGCCUGUUCGAGCGUCAUUUACAACCUCAAGCUCCGCUUGGUGUUGGGUGUCUGUCUGCGCUUCUUGCGAAGACUCGCCCUAAAUCUAUUGGCAGCGGCAUCGCCGGCUUCUCGCGCAGUACAAUGCGUUAUGGAAGGCUACCGGCGGGCUUGCGUCCAUCAAGUAACCCCCCAAGUUUGACCUCGAAUCAGGUAGGGAUACCCGCUGAACUUAAGCAUAUCAAUAAGCGGAGGA